rnacentral:rRNA from 1 species
GACGAACGCUGGCGGCGUGCCUAACACAUGCAAGUCGAACGAAGCUUGAUUUCUGAUUUUUUCGGAAUGACGAAUGAUAUGACUGAGUGGCGGACGGGUGAGUAACGCGUGAGCAACCUGCCCUUCGGAACGGGAUAGUGUCUGGAAACGGACAGUAAUACCGUAUAACAUAUAUUGAUCGCAUGGUCGAUAUAUCAAAACUGAGGUGCCGAAGGAUGGGCUCGCGUCUGAUUAGAUAGUUGGUGGGGUAACGGCCUACCAAGUCGACGAUCAGUAGCCGGACUGAGAGGUUGAACGGCCACAUUGGGACUGAGACACGGCCCAGACUCCUACGGGAGGCAGCAGUGGGGAAUAUUGCACAAUGGGGGAAACCCUGAUGCAGCAACGCCGCGUGAAGGAAGACGGUUUUCGGAUUGUAAACUUCUGUUCUUAGUGAAGAAUAAUGACGGUAGCUAAGGAGCAAGCCACGGCUA